rnacentral:rRNA from 1 species
UACGUAUGGAGCAAGCGUUAUCCGGAUUUACUGGGUGUAAAGGGUGCGUAGGCGGCACAGCAAGUCAGAUGUGAAAGACCGGGGCUCAACCCCGGGGCUGCAUUUGAAACUGCCGAGCUUGAGUCCGGGAGAGGCAGGCGGAAUUCCUAGUGUAGCGGUGAAAUGAGUAGAAAUUAGGAGGAACACCAGUGGCGAAGGCGGCCUGCUGGACCGGAACUGACGCUGAGGCACGAGAGCGUGGGGAGCAAACAGG